rnacentral:rRNA from 1 species
CGUGUAGGCGGUUGGUCAAGUCCGGUGUGAAAGCCCGAGGCUCAGCUUCGGAAGUGCAUCGGAAACUAGCCGACUGGAGCGCGAUAGAGGAGGGUGGAAUUCCUGGUGUAGCGGUGAAAUGCGUAGAUAUCAGGAGGAACACCGGCGGCGAAGGCGGCCCUCUGGAUCGUUGCUGACGCUGAGACGCGAAAGCGUGGGGAGCAAACAGGAUUAGAUACCCUGGUAGUCCACGCUGUAAACGAUGGGUACUAGGUGUUCGGGGUAUUGACCCCCUGAGUGCCGCAGUUAACGCAUUAAGUACCCCGCCUGGGGACUACGGCCGCAAGGUUAAA